UUAGGUUGUUCAUGAUUUGCUGGUCGCUUCCUGUUUUCGCCCUGAAUUUCAUGCAUCAACCUUUUCUUUUCUUUUCUUUUUCAUAAUGUAACAGCGGCGAGCCGAGGAAAACAUGGGCAGCCGUUACUGUAUUGACAUCACUUAUAUCCCUGCUAUAUUGUGUUUCUUGGAGUUACCAAACAAUGUCUACUGUGAGAGAAGGGAAGAAGAAAGAGAAGAUAGCUACAGAGCCUGUCGCUAGUUCAUGGAAAGAGAGAAAAGAUCUUGCUGACAAAGAAGAAGGGGCCUUGGUAAAAGAUAUUGAAGAUCUUAGAGCAUGGGUACAAAUCAUUUAACCCCUUUUUUUAAUUUUCUUAUUUUUGUUUCAUCUUCUUAAGUAGCAACACCAAUUGUGUUGCUUCAAGGACAAGGCAGGGCAAAGGAACAGCUAAAGUGUUGACAGUGAGCAGUUUUUGAGCCAUCACAGCAACCAGUACUGUUUCGAAAUGAUGAGCUAAUUUUUGGAACAAGUAGCCUUUUUUCUCUUUUUUUCUUGUAAAUAGUUUAAAUUUUCACUCCCCACACGACAGUGAGGACAAUGGAAGAUAGAAAAUACUUUAAAUUUCAUGCUUGUAGAACUUCAACCUCUGAUUCGUUUCAUGUUUUCUUUUCUCCAGAAAAUAAAAACUUAAGCACUCUAAUUAUUUCUUUUUUCCACGACAGACUGACAUGAUUGACGCUAUGAAUGAUGAGCAGUUGAAGGAAUAUCUGAAAAACAGACCUGAAGAAUUAAAGACCGUGAAGAUCCAAAAGAGCAAGCCCAGACAAAAGGUUCAACGGCUCAGGAAGGCUAAAUCUUCAGCUUCAAUGGGAAUAAUGGCUUCAGUGUGGAAAUUUCAUAAAGAAGAACAAUGAGGACUCUGUGAGACCUGAUGUUUGAAAGGCUUCCAACUCAACACAAUUGUAUAUGCACUAGCUUCUUCUUCACCAUAUGGUGGCAACUGAUCAUUUCCUUCUGUGUUUUUUUUUUUUUUUUGGUUAUCCAUGCUUGUUUGACAGUAAGGUAUAGCUUGUGUCACAGAAAAUAAGUAAAAAGCCACCACUUGUAGCAAAGCAUCUUUGAGUAUAGAACUUUAGGUGCUUCGCUCCAA